ensembl:lncRNA
GGCGUGCAACAUACGUCUCGCGGCUGCUCCCCUGGCUGCGCGAGGCUGCGCACAGCGUACCAUUCUGAAUGAUACCCACGCGCCCUGUGCUCGCUCCCGCCACAAACUGGAUUCAUUGGUUAUCGACGCGCGCGCUCCGCAAGUUGCCGUACAACCAGGGGAUUGAACCGUUCACUCGUUCCACGUUAAGUUUUCACCUCGUAAAGGGCGUCCUUAGAGCCUACGGGACUUUGUUGAAUUUGUUUGUGUUAAGAGCCGAGAGAGCGCCACGUUAAACCUCCCGGGGUGAAAGUAUUUCAUUGAGGAUGGUCAGUAAAGUGAUUUAAAUCCGCCGUUCAUGAGCCGUGUCCUGUGGGAACGGUUUUGUUCGCGGCUCGAUAAUGACGAGGGGGCUGCCGGGGUCGUUGCCUACGGUUUAGCACCAGUCGUUUGAAACGUCUUUUCGGUGGAGAAUGAUCUCCGAAGUGUUUUUGCUCUGAUGGAUGAAGCCGUGCUGGUGGAUCCGCUGUUGAAGACGCCGAGGGGAGAUAACAGCAGCAGCACAACACUACAGAGCGACAGCGAAAGCUAAGCCCAUCGACGCCGACGUUAACAUCAGGUCACCCGCUCUGUUCUGACCCAUACAGCGGCUUCACACAAAGGCAGACAUGACCUCUGAACCCGGCCUCAGAAAUGAAUGUAUUGUAUUGAACCAAACAGCCAUUGUGUGUUUCUUCUGCAUGGUCAUUAAUUAUACAUAUUGCAUAUAGCAUCGACGAUCCCGUGUCCUGAAACACAUGCAGCACCAUGAACCAGAGAAGAGGACUCUUCUUCACUUGUCGUGUUUCUCAGUACAUCCUCAUUCAAGAUGACUGCACAGUCACAGGCCUCAGUGAUUGCCACAGAAAUCCCAGCAGAGAUUCCGAUCCCCCCGUUUACAAUUCUGGCAUUGAGAAUGGCGGCUUUGGUUAGAAAGCUGCCAGGAUAUUCCCACAAUAGCAGGGCGGAGGAUAAUGAGGUGGUCCUGACGGGAUGGAAUUCCCAUUCAAGGCCAUCUUGGCAGCAAGUUUGUGCAACAACUCAAAAGAUUCACUUUGGGGGGACUGGGAAGGCGAUACUCCUGUCUGCCGUGGCAGGGAAUCUGUCCCUGUCCAAUAUCUUAUGACAACACAGGCAAAGCUUACUUUCCCCAUUGGAGGCUUGCUGAGGCACACAGUACUUCACUAUAUUUUUCCUGUGUCGUAUUUUUCCAAGUCAUUUAUAUUAUUAUGCAGGGGGC